rnacentral:lncRNA from 1 species
GCCCCAAAACUUCUCGACGUCUCGGCUCAGAAAGUAGCUCAUGGGGAGCUCGGACGAAGUAUCAUAGGCAGUCUGGAAACCAAGCAAGUCGCCGAAACACUUGUGGUUGAAGGUGUAUUCUUCCCCAAAUAACCUGAAGUUAACGUAUCCUCCAUCACUGGCGUGACCAACAUAAGGCUCGUAGACAAGCGAGCUCAGGAACUCCAAAGUCAGGUUCCUGUAAGUUACGUG